AUUCAUCACCGUACGUACCACUAAUCAAUCUUCAAGCUGACUGUUUGUUGUAGAAGCGGAAGCAAACAGCCACGCCCAAAACAAUCAAAGGAAGCAAGAGCUGGAGGAACUCGAUGACGCAGUGUAUUGUUUUGUCCUGGUUGUAAUGAGGUUGUUUGGGAGGAGUGUACUUGACCUUUGUUGGGAUGGUUGAACAAUCAACAUCACCAACAUAGUACUCGUCCAACAUUGAUCUAGCACUACUGCUGUGUCCGACAUCCUCAAAAUCACUAGUUGAAUCCUUUCCUGCAGAAAGAACAACCACAUGAGCCUAUGAAUCCGUUUGUUUUUACAGAUUUGCUUAGCUUUUAGCUUCUCAGAGAUGGCAUGCAACUUUCCAAAAUGAUUUAUAUCAAAGUCUAUUUGAAAAUCCAAGUGUAUAAUGUAUUUUGAAAGCCAUUUUAUUACUUUGGGGAUGAAAAGGGCAAUUGAAAAUACUUGAUCACACCAUGCAUGCAAUCUUUUUUAACUUGUCAUUUGUGUACUAAAAGUGACAUUCAUGUGGACAAAGUAUAAGAUACCAGACACGCUUGUCUUAUGGUAGAGCAUCUCUUUCUAAUAUAAUUAGCCAUAAAAUGCUUGCAGAAUUAAUGAAUUUAAGUUUGGUUCAGUGCUUUUUACACCUGAUGUUGUAACAAGUCAUUCAUUUUUAUAUUUUCACCUGAGAAAUGAAUGACCCGUUACAGCAUGUAAAAGUUACCUGAUAGUAAAAAAAAAAAACUACACCAACGAUUCACCAAACUUAAAUUCAAAAUUAAUAUCCUAGAAAAACAUAUACUAUACCAUCUUUCAAUUCUCGAUCUCCACACGUCUCCCUCUUCCAUAUUUGCCUUCUCUUUAUAAUUUAGUUUGAUUUUGUCUUCUUUUAUCAAAUACUCCCACUAUAAUUUUUUAGUUUGUUGGUUUUUUACUAAUAAUUUUAUUGAUUUUCGUAUUCUAAUUAAUUAGGGAUGAUUUAUUUAAUUUUGAUUAGCAUUUAAUGAAUUAGGAAAGUGAUUGUGUGAUUCUAAGGAAAUAUUUCACGCUCCUAGAGUAAUUUUUAGGGAAAAGGACACUCUAUGAUCUUUUUAAAAAAUAAUAGUUCAAUUAUAGCCUAAUUAUAGCCCAAGUUUGGCAUUUAGACAAAUAAUGUCCAGUCGGCUAAACAAAUGUCAUUUUAUGACCAUUUUCAAAUCUUUUUCAAUUUGGGUCAUUUUGAUCCACGUAGUCCAUAUACAACCUAUAUACGAUACUGAUACAGUCUAUAUACAAUAUUGAUACAAUAUUCGACUUGGGCAAUUCGGCACUUUUAAAAAUAUUUCAACUUUUUUUUACUAUAAAUUUUUAAAUUGAUCAAAUAUUCUGCUUUUUUUAUCGUUUAGAAAUAAUAAUUAAAUUAUAUAAAAACGAUAUAAUUAUUAAAUAGAAUAUGAAUCUAUAUAAGAUAUAUGUACAGAAAUUGUAUAGUUCUGUCAAAUAUGUAUAUGUACAAUAUAUAGAAAGUGUAUACAAAUUAUAUAAUUGUUGUAUAAAACGUGUAAAAAAAAGUAUAGUUAUUUAUGUAUCAAAACUGUAUAAUUUCCGUAUAGAAUAUUUAUGUAUAAGAUUUGUAUAAGACCUGUAUAAAAGUUGUGUAAAAAGGGUAUAGAACCAGUCAGUAAAUUAAAAUGGCUAGAAUGUGGAAUUUAAAUUUCAUGGCCAUUUUCAAGGAAAUAGUUUAAUUUGAAGUGUCGUUUCUGUUCUUUCCCCUAAUUUUUAAGGACAGUGCCUAACCCGAAUUCAAGUAUAUUUGAUAGUACAUCCUUAAAAUAUUACUCAUAGUAGUAUUAUUUAAUAGUUACUAUUGUUAUAGGGCUAAUAGUAUUAUUAUUGUUAUAUUAUGAAUUUGUUGACAAUAAAAUAAUAUUAUUAUUGCAGAUUUUACCACUAUUCCCCUACACUUUAGGCAGACAUAACUUAACACACACUUGUUGGUACAUGCAUAUUUAAGGUGAUUAGUAAUUAAAGAUUGAAUACCAAACUAUUUUACCUGUUGUAGACAGUAAAAUCUCAUCACCGCCAGGGUGAUCGUCUAAGAAUUUUGUCACAUCAUACACCUGUUCAAUACAAUUCAAAAGUUAUGAUUUUUAAUUUUGCUAAAUUCAUACUAAAAAGAGAGAUAAAUUAAUUAAAUGAUAUCUCAAAUUUUUGAAAGAAAAAAAGAAACUAAAAUAAUACGUGUCAAAUGAGGAUUGACACGUGAUCAAUACUUAUUUUUAGAAAUUAGGAUUUGAUCUAACAUGAACGUGAUUAUAUCACUUUAGAAUUAUUCGGUGAGAUAAUAGGAGGAUCCUAGCUCGCAAAUUUUUAAAUUUUGAACAACUUUAAUAGUUAUUUUAUGUUUGUUUUUUUUCCUCAAAGAAGAAAGCUUUAAUUAGUACAAGUAUAAUGAGAUUAAAUAACAUGAUACCUUGCCACUAAUAAUGAGCCAACAGUCCUUGGCAUUGUUGUGCUUGGAGACCUCAGCUAAAUUGUACACCUUACCCAUUAUUUAUAGACAAUUUCUUUUAAUCAGUACUAAGAAAACAGAAAGAUUAAUGAGAUAGUAUAUGAUUAUUGGCUCUUCAAGACUCUGUAGAGUUGCAGGAGGGGUUGUUGUGAAUAAAUAAAGAAAAGGGAGGCUUCCAUUGGGGUUUGGCCAUUGUUUAUUUGGCCAUCACAGGUCUAAUCAGAGAUGAUGACAAGUUAAUUUGGUGGAUACAAUUUUAAUAGGAGUAGCAGUUAGGAGUAAAGCUGGCAUGUACACUAUCCUAUUUGUCAGGUUUUAUUUUGUGAGAUUGUAUUGAAUAUAUUUUUGUUACUGUUAUUGUUGUUGGGGUAAAGAAAAGAAGAAAUAAUAGAAUUAAAAGAUGGGAUCGCUCGCUAUCAAAUUAAAAGAUCGAUUCAUCAUCUAGUCAAAUAACUGAAGUAUUAAGAUUUUCGCGAUACAAUAUUUGUUGAAAGAUUUAAUUUUUUAUUUUGUUUUUCUAUGUUAAUAGUUCAUAUCAGAUUGAACGAUUUUACUUUGAUAUUUAAAAAUGAAAGUAUAAGUAGCUAGGCACACAUUCAACUAUAAUUAUAAUUAGGUGAAUGAAAAACACUUUGUCUUUACAUUCAUUAUUCGUUUCAUAGAACAUCAAGUGAUGUGGUGAAAUGAACAUAAUUUUUCUAUUAAAUAAAGAUUUUAAAUCUAAUUUUGAGAAUCAAAACAACAUUGAUAAAGAGCACUUCGUGUAUGUAUAAUAUAUAGUAUAAAUAACAUAAAUAUCAAUUCUUGUGCAAGUAAUUACACUCUCUUCUACUUUUUUAAUUACUUUACUCUCUCCCCUUAUUAAUAUACAUAACAUUCUGUAUAUAUGUUGAGAUUUUUGUAAUAGAUUUAAAGAGUUGGGAUUUUUUGUAAUAUUAGAAACAUAAGUUAUAUAUUUGUGUAAUUUUUAGUAAUAUAAUAUAUAUACAUAAUGAUUUUCAAGGGAAAAAAAAUAACUAAGUCAUUUGGCCAUGGAUUGUUUUCACUUUAUUUGGAAACUCAUUUCACUUUAUACAAAAAAUUAUGUUUGGUCAUAAAAAAAUCAAAUACAAUUUAAAGUUGUAUUUGAAAUUUAGAAAAUAGUCCAAUACUUGUUUUCACUUCCCUUUAUUUUUUUCACUUCUUUAAUUUAUUAUUUGAAAAAAUUCUAAAUUUUUUAUUUUAAUCAAAUAACUCCAUUUAGAUUUUAUUUCAUUUUCAAAUCAUAAUUAUGUUUUUUAAGGAUAUAUGUAUAUAUCGCAAAAACUAUGGCCAAAGGCAUUUCCAAUUUCAAUUCUAAAUUUGAAAUUUUCAAAUACAGUGAAUUUUUUUAUUUAUUUUUUUGGUUUUCAUGGCCAAACUCCUAUGUACGUUUUUUUUAAAACAAACAAAUAAGGGGUCAGAUGUUGGCUUGGACUAAUUAAUCCUAUUAAAUUUGGCAUGAGAUAAUAUAGAGUUCUAUUGGAUUUAUAGGAAAAGAAAAUUAAAUCAUUCCUUAACUAAAGAAACAUUUAGUUGGUUACCUUAAAAUAAUAUAGGCAUUAAGUUAGAUUACAAUUUAGGUAUCGAUUUAAGUGAGAUCAUAAAAUAUGAAAUAAGAGGGUGGGUACAUAGUUAAUAAUUCAUGUAUAAAAGUUUCAUUAUUAUUAAUCACUAAAAUAAUAUUAUUUUUGCAUUAAAAUCCAUCCUAUAUAACUAAAAAUUUUGAUGUGGUUGUUGAGUGAGGUGAUAUUUGAAGCUAACAUAAGUUUUACUUAAAAAUUAAGUUCAUCUACUUGUUAACUUAUUUUAUUGACUUGCCACUUUACUGGUUUCUACAUCAAUAUGCUUAUAAUUUUAUAUCGAACAAUACAUUAGUCUUUUUUAUACAUAUAAUUGUGAUAUUUAUCUUUCAUAAUCAUUGUAUGCAUAUGCAUUUUUAUCUAUGUUUGUUUGGGAUAAAAUCCUAUUAAAGCAAACGCUAGUAGCAGGGGCGGAGCUACAUACAAGGUUGGCUGUUCAUCCGAACCCCCUUCGAUAAAAAAUUAUACUAUAUGUACAUGAUUAAAAUUAUUGUUUAUGUAUAUAUAGUAGAUGUCGAAACCCCUUCGGUUAGUUCAUAUAUUCACUUGGGAACCCCUUGGUGUCAAUCCUGGCUCCGCCACUGGCCAGUAGCCCAAGAAACAAAGUUCACGAGACACAGAUUGAUAUAUAUUUUUUUCAAAAAAAAACAAAAAGUAGUUCGAUGCAGUAAAAUUCAAGCUACAAACUGAUAAAAAUAAAAAGGACAGUUAAAAUGGGAACAAAGAUUAAGCAAAGGCAUCCUCACAACACCAGAAACCAAAAUAUCAUAACUAUUCCCAGAAUUUAACCAAAGAUUUGCCUGGCUAACAAAGAAAUAACUCUUUUUUUUUACUUUUUUUUUUUUGUCUUUUCGCUCUUCCAGCAUCUCGUUGAUUUCAUUUCUUAUUAUGAGAUCACCGGUAAUGAAUCUUCAAGCUGACUGUUUGGUGUAGAAGCGGACGCCAACAGCCACGCCCAAAAUAAUCAAAGGAACCAAGAACUGAAGGAUCUUGAAGAUGAACUGUGUUGUUUUGUCCUGGUUGUAAUGAGGUUGGUUGGGAGGAGUGUACUUGACCUUUGUUGGGAUGGUUGAAGAAUCGAUAUCACCAACAUAAUACUCGUCCAACAUUGAUCGAGCACUACUGCUGUGUCCGACAUCCUCAAAAUCAUCGGUUGCAUCCUUUCC
rnacentral:lncRNA from 1 species